rnacentral:lncRNA from 1 species
GAGGGAUAGCGACUAGUGGAGGUUCUUCAUUAUAGCAGACGGCUCCUUAGACUAGGUUUAUAUACUUUUUUGGGGUGGGUGUAUCUAGUACAGACUGUUAGGUUUACUCUUUUGGUUUUUGUAUGGGUAGACCUAUUGUAUAGGAAUUUGAUGAUUGUAUACAUAUGGCUGAAGCCACCAUAGUGGAUACCUUUGCUUUGGAUGUCACUAUGUAUUUUGCAAAACUCCCAUAUUUUGGACAGCUUUAGAUGAUGAAUGUACUUAUGUUUAAUCUUGUUAUUUGAAAAGAAUGUGUUAACAAACUUUAUUUGAAAAAG